rnacentral:rRNA from 1 species
AACGAACGCUGGCGGCAUGCCUAACACAUGCAAGUCGAACGAGCCCUUCGGGUCUAGUGUCGCACGGGUGCGUAACGCGUGGGAACCUGCCCUUAGGUUCGGCAUAACUCCCCGAAAGGGGUUCUAAUACCAGAUAAUAUCUUCGGCCCAAAGAUUUAUCGCCUUUGGAUGGGCCCUCGUUUGAUUAGCUAGUUUGUAGGGUAAAAGCCUACCAAGGCGACGAUCCCUAGCUGGUCUGAGAGGAUGAUCAGCCACACUGGGACUGAGACACGGCCCAGACUCCUACGGGAGGCAGCAGUGGGGAAUAGUGGAAAAUGGGCGAAAGCCUGAUCCAGCAAGGCCGCGUGAGUGAUGAAGGCCUUAGGGUUGUAAAGCUCUUUUAACCGGGAUGAUAAUGACAGUACCGGGAGAAUAAGCUCCGGCUAACUCCGUG